GACAGAGGGUGCAAACGUUGUUCGGAUUUACUGGGCGUAAAGCGCGUGUAGGCGGCUUCGUAAGUUGGAUGUGAAAUCCCACGGCUCAACCGUGGACGUGCAUCCAAAACUACGUCGCUGGAGUCUCGGAGAGGAAGGUGGAAUGCUUGGUGUAGAGGUGAAAUUCGUAGAUAUCAAGCAGAACACCUGCGGCGAAGGCGGCCUUCUGGACGAUGACUGACGCUGAGACGCGAAAGCGUGGGUAGCGAACAGG
rnacentral:rRNA from 1 species